CUCUCUAUCAUUUUUCCACUCUCCCAGUCCAGCCGCCGGCGCACAACUGCACAACACAUGCACCAGCACCGCUGUCCGCUAGAGUUUGGAGAGCCGCCUUGCGCCCUUGCCUGCCUGCCUGACGCCGACCGCGACCGCGAAUCCGUGAGAUGGUGAGAGUGGGAUCAUGACGGCCACUUCCCCUGCGAGGCUGCGAGGCGCCUGCGACCCUGCCCAAACUCGCGAGUCGCGUGGCCGCGUGGGCGAGGGCACGCGCGACACGAGGCUGGAGAGCCGGCUUUCCUGACGCCGACCGCGGCAACCUCUGCUAUUCGUCCAUGGUGGUGACGGCCGGUGAUGCUUCUUCCUCUUCCUCUUUAGUCUUAAUCCUACUGCAUACUUACAACUACAGUGAGGACGCCUGGCUGCAUGAGCUGCCGAGCUCGCCACUGUCCUUCUGUGCUAGUUGAAGCUGGUAGCUGCCUCCCGUGGAGGUUUGGAUCUGGACGGCGCAAAUCUUUUUGGAUCCGAGAGGAGGACGAGUAGCCGCUAGCCCUGUGCUCCGUCAUGGCCUCACGGGUAGAGCACUUCAUCGAUCUGAACUACCGAUCAAGAUUUUGUCAAGCACAUGGAUUUGACUUCCUUCUCCGAUGCAAAAAUGGAUCCCGGUGGUGAUGGAUGUGUUCUGAUUUAAAUUUCUGAUGUAAAUUUUUGCUAUACUGAUGUAAAUUUCUGGACAUGUGACUGGAAAUUUCUGAUGUAAAUUUUUGCUAUACUGAUGUAAAUUUUCUGGGUUUGGAAAAAAAUGAUCUGAAAUAUGUGGACUGAAACAGUUGGCUGCA